rnacentral:rRNA from 1 species
UAACACACGCAAGUCGAGGGGUAACGAUUCUGAGUAAUCGGAAGGCGACGACCGGCGCACGGGUGAGUAUCGCAUUUGCAACCUACCUCUGACUGGAGCAUAGCCCGAAGAAAUUCGGAUUAAUACUCCAUAAUACUGCGAGAAGGCAUCUUUUUUCAGUUAAGGCUUCGGCGGUCAGAGAUGGGCAUGCGUAACAUUAGCUAGUUGGUGAGGUAACUGCUCACCAAGGCUACGAUGUUUAGGGGGUCUGAGAGGAUGGUCCCCCACACUGGUACUGAGACACGGACCAGACUCCUACGGGAGGCAGCAGUGAGGAAUAUUGGUCAAUGGGCGAAAGCCUGAACCAGCCAUGCCGCGUGAAGGAUGACGGCCCUAUGGGUCGUAAACUUCUUUUAUACGGGAAGAAACCUCUCUACGUGUAGAGGGUUGACGGUACCGUACGAAUAAGCAUCGGCUAACUCCGUGCCAGCAGCCGCGGUAAUACGGAGGAUGCAAGCGUUAUCCGGAUUCAUUGGGUUUAAAGGGUGCGCAGGCGGAGAAUUAAGUCAGUGGUGAAAUCCUGCAGCUUAACUGUAGAAUUGUCAUCGAUACUGGUUUUCUUGAAUGCAGUUGAGGUAGGCGGAAUGUGUAAUGUAGCGGUGAAAUGCUUAGAUAUUACCCAGAACACCGAUUGCGAAGGCAGCUUACUAAACUGUGAUUGACGCUGAGGCACGAAAGCGUGGGGAGCGAACAGGAUUAGAUACCCUGGUAGUCCACGCUGUAAACUAUGAUCACUCGUUGUUGGCAAUACAUCGUCAGCGACUGAGCGAAAGCAUUAAGUGAUCCACCUGGGGAGUACGAUCGCAAGAUUGAAACUCAAAGGAAUUGACGGGGGCCCGCACAAGCGGAGGAACAUGUGGUUUAAUUCGAUGAUACGCGAGGAACCUUACCUGGGCUUAAAUGCAUAACGACGGACCGGGAAACUGGUCUUUCUUCGGACGGCAUGCAAGGUGCUGCAUGGCUGUCGUCAGCUCGUGCCGUGAGGUGUCGGGUUAAGUCCCAUAACGAGCGCAACCCUUAUCAUUAGUUGCCAGCGGGUAAUGCCGGGGACUCUAAUGAAACUGCCGGUGUAAACCGAGAGGAAGGUGGGGAUGACGUCAAGUCAGCACGGCCCUUAUGUCCAGGGCUACACACGUGUUACAAUGGUCAGUACAGAGGGAAGCUGCCAGGCGACUGGGUGCUAAUCUCAAAAACUGGUCUCAGUUCGGAUCGGAGUCUGCAACUCGACUUCGUGAAGUUGGAUUCGCUAGUAAUCGCGCAUCAGCCAUGGCGCGGUGAUACGUUCCCGGGCCUUGUACACACCGCCCGUCAAGCCAUGGAAGCCGGGGGUACCUGAGUUCGUAACCGCAAGGAGCGAC